rnacentral:rRNA from 1 species
UACGUACGGGGCGAGCGUUAUCCGGAAUUACUGGGCGUAAAGCGAGCGCAGGCGGUUUGUUAAGCCAGAUGUGAAAUCCCCGGGCUCAACCUGGGAACUGCGUUUGGAACUGGCAAGCUAGAGUGUGUUAGAGGGGGGUAGAAUUCCACGUGUAGCAGUGAAAUGCGUAGAGAUGUGGAGGAAUACCGAUGGCGAAGGCAGCCCCCUGGGAUAACACUGACGCUCAUGCUCGAAAGCGUGGGUAGCAAACAGG